CCCCCCCCAGGUGACACAGGGACCUCAUUGGUGACACAGGACCCCCCAAGGUGCACAGGGACCUCCCCAGGUGACACAGGGACCCCCCAGAGUGACACAGGGACCCCAUUUGGUGACACAGGGACCCCCCCAGGUGACACAGGACCCCCCCAGGUGACACAGGGACCCCAUUGGUGACACAGGGACCCCCCCAGGGGACACAGGACCCCCCCGAAGGUGACACUCACUCACGAGGAUGACCGAUCCCGGUGACGCAGAGCACAGCCGCCACCACCAAACCCCCAACGCGCAGCUGGUGCCAAUCUGAUGGGGACAUCGUUGUCACCUCCCCCUUGGGGACACCAAUGCCACCCCAUGGAGACCCCCAUUUCCCCCCCUUGGGGACAUCACUGUCACCCCUUGGGGACCCCCAUUCCCCCCCCUUGGGGACAUCACUGUCACCCCUUGGGGACCCCCAUUUCCCCCCCUUGGGGACAUCACUGUCACCUCCUUGGGGACCCCCCAUUUCCCCCCUUUGGGGACAAUCAUUUGUCACAUCCCCAAUGGGGACCCCAUGUCCCCCCCUUGGGGACACCAAUGCCACCCCAUGGAGACCCCCAUGUCCCCCCCUUGGGGACAUCACUGUCACCCCUUGGGGACCCCCAUGCCACCCACUCGGGGACACCAAUGUCACCUCCCCCCUGGGGACACCAAUGCCACCCCAUGGGGACCCCCAUUUCCCCCCCUUGGGGACAUCACUGUCACCUCCCCCCUGGGGACACCAAUGCCACCCCAUGGGGACCCCAUGUCACCCCUUUGGGGACACCAAUGCCACCCUUUUGAGGACCCCCAUGUCACCUGUCACCCCUUGGGGACAUCAUUGUCACCCCCUUGAGGACAUCAUUGUCACCUCCCCCCUGGGGACCCCCAUGUCACCCCUUUGGAGACCCCCAUUUCCCCCCCCUUUGGGGACAUCGUUGUCACCUCCCCCCUGGGGACACCAAUGCCAACCAUGGGACCUCCCAUUCCCCCCCUUGGGGAAACACUGUCCACCCAUGGGGACCCCCAUUUCCCCCCCUUGGGGACAUCAACUGUCACCCCUUGGGGACCCCCAUGCCACCCACUCGGGGACACCAAUGUCACUCCCCCCUGGGGAA
rnacentral:lncRNA from 7 species